CCUACGGGAGGCAGCAGUGGGGGAUAUUGCACAAUGGGGGGAACCCUGAUGCAGCGACGCCGCGUGGGGGAAGAAGCGCCUCGGCGCGUAAAGCCCUGUCAGCAGGGAAGAAAAUGACGGUACCUGAAGAAGAAGCCCCGGCUAACUACGGGCCAGCAGCCGCGGUAAUACGUCGGGGGCACGCGUUAUCCGGAUUUACUGGGUGUAAAGGGGGCGCAGACGGCGCUGCAAGCCAGGAGUGAAAGCCCGGGGGCCAACCCCGGGACUGCGGUUGGAACUGCGUGGCUGGAGUGCAGGAGGGGCAGGCGGAAUUCGUGGUGUAGCGGUGAAAUGCGUAGAUAUCAGGAGGAAAACCGGUGGCGAAGGCGGCCUGCUGGACUGCAACUGACGUUGAGGCUCGAAAGCGUGGGGAGCAAACAGGAUUAGAUACCCGAGUAGUC
rnacentral:rRNA from 1 species